ACUCAGGCUCUGAAGGUCCCAGGUCCUGAGCCAGGACUCUUCAGGUGAGGACGGCAGCAGUUCUGGAGCCCCAACCAGCCUCUAGUGCUGGGCGCUGCCACCUACCUGCUGGGUGACUUUGACUCUCCUGGGACCCCAUUUCCUGGUCUGUAUGAUGGAGUUGACACCACAGCCUCACCGCGCUGUAGGGAGAGCAGAAGAGGGACAGCAGAGCUCAGCGUGCAGGGACGAAUGCACGCGGCGAAGCAGGUACUGUCACUUUCAUUUUGCAGAGCUCAGAGUCGGCAAGAGUUGGCAAGAGCUGUGUCUGAACCCAGUUUGCCCGCUAGCAGCUGCGUACCUUGGGCUCAAGGCUCCACUGAGUCUGAGCUGCCCUGCUGCUUCUUUGAACUCAGGGGGGCAGCAUAGGGAUAAAAUCCCUUAAGGCCUGAGGAGUAGAUGCUCCGGCUCAAACUUCUCCCACCUGCUGACAAGGUUGAGUUCAUCUCAUCACGCGCAUGUUGACUAGGGCUCUUAAUAAGCAAUUCCUGGGGACAAGUUAAGUGCCAGGGCCUGAGCCAGUCUCUGCAAGGAGGCCUAACAAAUCAGGCCCAGGCCAUGCUCCCAGGAAGGGGGAGAGGGACACUUAGUCAGCUCUAUUCCUGGGCCCCAGAAAGGCCAACCAAGAAGGCAGUGUUGUCUUCAAGGUGGGUAAAGGUGUGGAUGGAAGAGGAACAACAGAGGAGACACAGCAGGAGCAAAACAAGGAGAGCAUGUUGCUUCCUCCCAGCCCCUGGCAGUGAGACUUGCUCCUGAGGUGGGAGAGACCCCAGGCGGUGCACGGUGUGCUCAGGACUCUGUGGAGGGAUCCUCCCUGCUAUAAGGAACAGAAGAGCCUACAACCGGCUUUGACAGUCGGGACCUCCACAUCACAUUACAAAAGUUGGGUGUAGAUUGAAGGUCUGUGGCAACCCUGCAUAGAGCAAGUCUAUUGGCACCAUUUUUCCAACAGCAUUUUCUCACUUUGUAUCUCUGUGUCCCAUUUUGGUAAUUCCCCAAAUAUUUUGAGCUUCUUCAUUAUUAUUACAUUCACUAUGAUUGCAAUCAGUGAUCUUUGGCGUUAUGACCAUAACUGUUUUGGGGCACCACGAAUUGCUCCCAUACAAGACAGCUAACUUAGUGAGAUAUUGAAAUGAUAACAA
ensembl:lncRNA